UACGUAGGGGGCAAGCGUUGUCCGGAUUUAUUGGGCGUAAAGAGCGUGUAGGCGGCCUGACAGGUCUGCUGUGAAAACUCGAGGCUCAACCUCGAGAUGUCGGCGGAAACCGUCUGGCUAGAGUCCGGAAGAGGAGAGUGGAAUUCCUGGUGUAGCGGUGAAAUGCGCAGAUAUCAGGAGGAACACCAAUGGCGAAGGCAGCACUCUGGGACGUGACUGGACGCUGAGACGCGAAAGCGUGGGAGCAAACAGG
rnacentral:rRNA from 1 species